CUCGAGCUUUCACAGUUCAUUUACCUAAAAGCAGUCUGAUAAACGAAAGCAUUUAGAAAGCGAAAUGGAAACCAAGCAAACACAAAAUAGCGACGAUAUCCAAGCAGGACGAUGAAGACACUCACAACUGGCUUCUCAAAUUACCAAAAAGAGCACGUUGCAGUGCAGCACAACUCAGAUGAGGACAAGAGAAAUCCAAAACACGGUCAGAGCGAGCAACGAACAAAAAAAUAUAAAAAAAAGGUGCAGGACAUUGGAUAAACACACAUACACAUGCAACAACAUGAAGAGACGGUCAAUUUGAAAAAGAGUGAGCUUCGUCAUAAAGCUGGUUGGUUGAGAAUGUGCAGCAGGGCGUGUCGCCACAGCGUUGGGAAGCCGCAAAGUGCGCGGUCGCAUGUGCCGUGUUGCCAGGCAGGUGGUGGCCGCCAGCCCGAAAGGGUCAGCGUCUCUAAUGUAGGGUAGCAGCGGCUGGAAAAUGCAUUUCCCAGCGCCAUAGCCAAAUGUCCUGAUAAACAUCACCCGCUCACAAUUGAAGAAUUAUUGAAAUGGGCGCACGGCAAAAAACAACAAAAAAAACCGCCCUCUAUGCCUGGUUGUACGUGGUUGCUUACGUAAUUGGUUCAAUAAACCUCUUUCCUUUUUUUUCUUUUA